GGGGAUGAAAGGAUUUCGACUGGGAUAGGGAUUUCGGGUAAGCAUGCAGCGGAGUUGCGCCGCUUUAAAAGUAACACCUUAAAAUUAACUGACAAUAAUAAAUCAGUAGCUUUAGCUGCGUAAGUGCAGCUUUCGUCUGUCCGUUGAGUGCCGCGGCUUCGGAACAGGCGUCGUGUAGCGGCGAACAUGAACGGGAGAGCGGUUCGGCUCCCGUCAGGUAUCAAAACCUACCGUAGCGAAAAGGCUGUUUGCUGCCGUUUCGUGAGGGGAAUUUCCAAAUAACAAACUAAGCAUGUAGAAAGCCCCAAUGAAUGAUUUCAGGACGCGGUUUCGAUUACCGCCAUCUCCACCA
rnacentral:tmRNA from 1 species